UACGGACAUAUCAUAUUGAAACACCUGUUCCCGUACUAUCACCGAAGUUAAGCAAUGUCGAGCCUGGUCAGUAUGUACAUGGGUGACCCCUUAGGAAUGCCAGGUUUUGCAA